GGCCCAGACUCCUACGGGAGGCAGCAGUGGGGAAUAUUGCACAAUGGGGGAAACCCUGAUGCAGCGACGCCGCGUGAGUGAAGAAGUAUUUCGGUAUGUAAAGCUCUAUCAGCAGGGAAGAAAAUGACGGUACCUGACUAAGAAGCCCCGGCUAACUACGUGCCAGCAGCCGCGGUAAUACGUAGGGGGCGAGCGUUAUCCGGAAUUACUGGGUGUAAAGGGAGCGUAGACGGCGAGGUAAGCCUGAAGUGGAAGCCCGCGGCCCAACCGCGGAACUGCUUUGGGAACUGUUUUGCUGGAGUAUGGGAGGGGUAAGCGGAAUUCCUGGUGUAGCGGUGAAAUGCGUAGAUAUCAGGAGGAACACCGGCGGCGAAGGCGGCCUGCUGGACCGCGACUGACGUUGAGGCUCGAAAGCGUGGGGAGCAAACAGGAUUAGAUACCCCAGUAU
rnacentral:rRNA from 1 species